GCCAGACUCCUACGGGAGGCAGCAGUGGGGGAUAUUGCACAAUGGGGGAAACCCUGAUGCAGCGAUGCCGCGUGAAUGAAGACGGCCUUCGGGUUGUAAAGUGCUGUCGCAGGGGACGAAAAUGACGGUACCCUGCAAGAAAGCUCCGGCUAACUACGUGCCAGCAGCCGCGGUAAUACGUAGGGAGCAAGCGUUAUCCGGAUUUACUGGGUGUAAAGGGCGUGUAGGCGGGCUUGUAAGUCAGAAGUGAAAUCUGGGGGCUUAACCCCCAAACUGCUUUUGAAACUGCGGGUCUUGAGUGAUGGAGAGGCAGGCGGAAUUCCCAGUGUAGCGGUGAAAUGCGUAGAUAUUGGGAGGAACACCAGUGGCGAAGGCGGCCUGCUGGACAUUAACUGACGCUGAGGCGCGAAAGCGUGGGGAGCAAACAGGAUUAGAUACCCCUGUAA
rnacentral:rRNA from 1 species